GGCCCCCUAGCUCAAUUGGAUAGAGCGACAGCCUCCUAAGCUGUAGGUAGCGAGUUCGAAUCCCGCGAGGGUCA
rnacentral:tRNA from 1 species